rnacentral:rRNA from 1 species
CGAAUUCAGGAAAGACUGUUGCUGGCAGAAAUGCAUGUGCACGUCCUACCUUGCCCCUUUACACACCUGUGCACCUUUUGUAGGUCCUCGGAAAGAGGAUCUAUGUUUUACUAUCAUCACAUCCAAUGUAUGUCUAGAAUGUGAAUCAACUAUCGAUCUUCACGGGUCGAUAAAUGAUAAAUAAAUAUA